AUGAAGUAUUUCACUGGAUUGUUCAUUCUAUCAUAACGUCGAAAUAACAGAUAUGUGUUGCUAGAAAAUACACAUGCAUAUGGCACUUCCUCAAAAUCAGGGUGAACCCAUUGACAAUAAUUCAUGCAAGACUGUCGAGGCUCACCAGUGCAAUGCGUUCCGUUAUAGAAUGAGACAGAUGGGUGUAUUCAGGUUAGCCUGUGGUGCGAUAUUUUGGCAAAUAGUUGCAGUUAAGCUUCAUUUGUACUGUUGCGACCUUCGUGUAUGCGAUGUGAAGUGAGCUGGCCCAGUAGAGUACUUUGUAGAAAUAGCCUCGAACCGCUAACGAUGAUGUUUUUCACGAAGAAGUUAGCCCCACGAGAUGUAGAUGGCGCUGCCGUGUCUCCGCGAGCCGCCAUUGAAGUGCGUAUGGACCUCUAUGACAGCUCUGCUACCAUAUGUACAUGUCACGAUACUCUGUCAAGACGGGGAGGACGGUCAACGCCUCACCCCAACUUCCACUGAUAGGAGAUUCACCUCGCUAACAGGUAACUUUGUGUAUCGUACGUGUUACCCACACUAUGUCGACAGGAAAAUCACCCCAAACGAUUGUGUUAUUUUUUGUGGGAGGGGACUUUUCUAACUGUGACUUACUACCAGGGACCUUCUGGAAGGCUUCAGCACCCUACAAGCGUUGCCAAUAAUUUACCAGUUUUUUCACAGAGGAAAACCUUCAGAUAUUUGCCUGCAGAACCAGUGGAAAAAUUGCUACGUUUUGUUGUUAUUAAUAUAGGAAUUUGGUUGCCAAGGACGCUACCUUCAACUAUUUGUGCCCUGGCACCAAGCAUAAUAUGAAGUUUGGCGAGAAAAAGUCGGUAGGCUUCCGUAGUGACAAUAAGCUUUCAAAGUGCUUGGAGCGCCUGUACUUGUGAUUUCCUUUCGUAGUUUUAGGUGACCGAUGUGUUUCAACGCCGAUGAUGAAGCGUAGACAGUCGUAAGUGUGUUUUUUGACUCACGCAGAAGGAGUUGUUCGGAGAAAUAUGGUCCAACAACUGCGUCGUAACACACGACAUCAUGCGACUUUGACUCAUCAGUGUGAAAUCCUUCGUUACGGUUCUUCGAAUCAAACUCUACAAUGUGCUUUAGGCUAUGAAACUGUGGAGCAUGCUUUGAUACUUCAACAAAUAUCACAUUCCAGAAUCUUACACGGCCACGUUGUAAGCGGCAUCGCUGGAAACUUUAAUGAAUGUUCAAAGAGUGUGACGUCGAUUUAUUUCUUAUUUUUCUUACACGCAGGAAGGGCUGUUGCCGCAGGCCAUUUUUUGAAUAGGUCACCAGGAUGGCUCUUCUUCAGUGGGGGAAUCGUAAAGGAAGAAAACGACCAUUUCCCUAGCAGCAUCACUAACGCUAGGAGCGUGCUGGCGGUCGGUCUCGGGCAGCACGUCAGUUUGGGCCAACGUUCAAGGGUUGUUCUAAAUGCCUUGCCGUUAGAACACUCCUUUUCUGCGCAUGCCCCACCUGGAAUAUAGACUUACGAUGUGGCAACGCAAUAAAAUUUUGUUGGAAGUAA